AUGUUGUUGCGGUUAAAAAGCCCGUAGUUGGAUUUGAGAUCACUGUCUCUGGAUUCUACUCUGGGGUUUCCUGGAGACCAGAAUCCAAGAAAUGGCGGUGAUCUGUUUGAUGCGGGAAUGGACCUCUGCCGACCACCUCUUCGGGGGUGUAAGGCAACUUCGGAGUCUCGACGCUCCAAAGAGGCGCCCGCAGUCGUCACUGUGAGUAAAUCAGAGUGUUCAAGGCAACUCUUUGUUGAGUUGAAUGUCAAAGCAUGGAAUGACAAGGGAUCGACCACUGAUUGGCCUCUUUUUGUUGGUUUUUAACCAUCAGUGAGGUAAAUCUGUGGAAGGGCUUUUCGCUCCAGAGACUUCGGUCUUCUGGACGAACCCUUCUGCGCACGGGAUCAAUAGGAGCACAGGGGGCCGUGAGUACUGGAGGGUGAGUGGUGAAAUACUGAGACCCCUCCAAGACUGACAUCAGCGAAAGCACUCGGCUAUUGUGCUUUCAUUAAUCAAGGACGAGAGAUAGGGGAUCGAAGAGGAUUAGACACCCUCGUAGUCCUUUCCUUAAAUUCUGCAGACUUGGGAUCGGUCAGCGUCCAUCAUCUUGACCUGAUCGGCACCUUCCUUCCCCACCGAGAAAUCAAAGUC
rnacentral:rRNA from 1 species